ACGGGAUUAGAUACCCCGGUAGUCCCAGCUGUAAAUAAUGCGGACUGUGGUGUUGCUUCAGAGUUAAUCUGCAGCAGUGCUGUAGCGUAGGUGUUAAGUCCGCCGCCUGGGGAGUACGGCCGCAAGGUUGAAACUUAAAGGAAUUGGCGGGGGAGCACCACAAGGGGUGGAUGCUACGGUUUAAUUGGAUACAACGCCGUGAACUUCACCAAGGGCGACGGCAGAAUGAAGGCCAGACUAAAGAUCUUGCCUAACAAGCCGAGAGGUGUUGCAUGGCCAUCGUCAGCUCGUGGCGUGAGUUGUCUGGUUAAGUCCAGCAACGAGCGAGACCCAUACCAUUAAUUGCUACUUUUACCUUUAGUAAGAGGCACCUUAAUGGGACUGCCCGCGUUAAGUGGGAGGAAGGAGUGGGCGACGGUAGGUCAGUAUGGCCCGAAUCCCUUGGGCUACACGCGGCAUUCAAUGGCUGGAACAAUGGGUUGCUACUCCGAAAGGAGGCGCUAAUCCCCUAAAUCCAGUCUUAGUUCGGAUUGAGGGUUGAAGCUCACCCUCAUGAAGCUGGAAUCCCUAGUAAUCGCGUGUCAUCAUCGCG
rnacentral:rRNA from 1 species